UGCAGUCGAACGAUGAUCUCCAGCUUGCUGGGGGGAUUAGUGGCGAACGGGUGAGUAACACGUGAGUAACCUGCCCUUGACUCUGGGAUAAGCCUGGGAAACCGGGUCUAAUACUGGAUACGACCUUCUGGCGCAUGCCAUGUUGGUGGAAAGCUUUUGUGGUUUUGGAUGGACUCGCGGCCUAUCAGCUUGUUGGUGGGGUAAUGGCCUACCAAGGCGACGACGGGUAGCCGGCCUGAGAGGGUGACCGGCCACACUGGGACUGAGACACGGCCCAGACUCCUACGGGAGGCAGCAGUGGGGAAUAUUGCACAAUGGGCGCAAGCCUGAUGCAGCGACGCCGCGUGAGGGAUGAAGGCCUUCGGGUUGUAAACCUCUUUCAGUAGGGAAGAAGCCGCUCCUUUUUGGGGGUGGUGACGGUACCUGCAGAAGAAGCGCCGGCUAACUACGUGCCAGCAGCCGCGGUAAUACGUAGGGCGCAAGCGUUAUCCGGAAUUAUUGGGCGUAAAGAGCUCGUAGGCGGUUUGUCGCGUCUGCCGUGAAAGUCCGGGGCUUAACUCCGGAUCUGCGGUGGGUACGGGCAGACUAGAGUGCAGUAGGGGAGACUGGAAUUCCUGGUGUAGCGGUGAAAUGCGCAGAUAUCAGGAGGAACACCGAUGGCGAAGGCAGGUCUCUGGGCUGUAACUGACGCUGAGGAGCG
rnacentral:rRNA from 1 species